rnacentral:rRNA from 1 species
GACAUAGGUGGCGAACGUUAUCCGGAAUUAUUGGGCGUAAAGGAUGCGUAGAUGGCAGAAUAAGUUAUUGGUCAAUGUCAAACUCAAUUUGACGGAAGCUAGUAAUACUAUUCUACUGGAGGGCAGGAGAAGUUGAUGGAAUUCUGUGUGGAGCGGUGAAAUGCGUUGAUCUACAGAGGAACACCAAAAAAGCGAAGGCAGUCAACUAUUCUGUUCCUGACAUUGAGGCAUGAAAGCGUGGGGAGCAAACCGG